GACGAACGCUGGCGGCGUGCCUAAUACAUGCAAGUUGAGCGAUGAAGAUUGGUGCUUGCACCAAUUUGAAGAGCAGCGAACGGGUGAGUAACGCGUGGGGAAUCUGCCUUUGAGCGGGGGACAACAUUUGGAAACGAAUGCUAAUACCGCAUAACAACUUUAAACAUAAGUUUUAAGUUUGAAAGAUGCAAUUGCAUCACUCAAAGAUGAUCCCGCGUUGUAUUAGCUAGUUGGUGAGGUAAAGGCUCACCAAGGCGAUGAUACAUAGCCGACCUGAGAGGGUGAUCGGCCACAUUGGGACUGAGACACGGCCCAAACUCCUACGGGAGGCAGCAGUAGGGAAUCUUCGGCAAUGGACGAAAGUCUGACCGGGCAACGCCGCGUGAGUGAAGAAGGUUUUCGGAUCGUAAAACUCUGUUGGUAGAGAAGAACGUUGGUGAGAGUGGAAAGCUCAUCAAGUGACGGUAACUACCCAGAAAGGGACAGCUAACUACGUG
rnacentral:rRNA from 1 species